AGCUUCUAUAGGUGGACCACACAGGGGUCACCCGAUUCUGAUCAAAGAGCCUAACCACAUAAGCCGGAGUUAAAAGGCCAAUGCCAAAAUCAGCGUUAAAAAUCAAUUGCAGAAUGUUGUGGAAAUCAAACUUAGAAGUCAGAAAUAAAAUUACUGCGAAAUGCUCUUUGAAAUCCAUCGUGCACAUCGAUUUUAACAUCAUCAAAGCCUUAACACAAUGCCAGAGC